CCCGGCGACCGGCGCACGGGUGAGUAACACGUAUGCAACCUGGCCGCCACAGGGGGAUAACCCGCGGAAACGCGGCCUAAUACCCCGUGACGCCACCGGAGGGCAUCCUCCGGUGGCCAAAGGAGCGAUCCGGUGGCGGAUGGGCAUGCGGCGCAUUAGCUAGCCGGCGGGGUGACGGCCCACCGUGGCGACGAUGCGUAGGGGUUCUGAGAGGAAGGCCCCCCACACUGGGACUGAGACACGGCCCAGACUCCUACGGGAGGCAGCAG
rnacentral:rRNA from 1 species